rnacentral:rRNA from 1 species
CCUACGGGUGGCAGCAGUGGGGAAUAUUGGACAAUGGGCGAAAGCCUGAUCCAGCCAUGCCGCGUGUGUGAAGAAGGCAUUCGGGUUGUAAAGCACUUUCAGUGGGGAAGAAAGCCUUGGGGCUAAUACCCUCGAGGAAGGACAUCACCCACAGAAGAAGCACCGGCUAACUCCGUGCCAGCAGCCGCGGUAAUACGGAGGGUGCGAGCGUUAAUCGGAAUUACUGGGCGUAAAGCGCGCGUAGGCGGUCUGAUAAGCCGGUUGUGAAAGCCCCGGGCUCAACCUGGGAACAGCAUCCGGAACUGUCAGGCUAGAGUGCAGGAGAGGAAGGUAGAAUUCCCGGUGUAGCGGUGAAAUGCGUAGAGAUCGGGAGGAAUACCAGUGGCGAAGGCGGCCUUCUGGACUGACACUGACGCUGAGGUGCGAAAGCGUGGGUAGCAAACAGGAUUAGAUACCCGUGUAGUC